rnacentral:lncRNA from 1 species
GCAAGUUCUGGAAUAAGAUCAAGUCUAGUCUGGGAAUGGGUAGUGGCUCAAGCUCUGGCACAGGCAGUACAAUGUGCAUGAGAUGUGGAAGGCCGCACAAAGGAGUUUGUCGUAUGGGAUCUACAGCCUGCUUUAAGUGUGGGCAGGAGGGACAUUUUGCUCGGGAAUGUCCUCAGUUGACCUUUAUGGUACCAUCCCAGCAGAUGAGCUCAGGCAGUGUGGCACAGCCAGCAGCACCAGCCAUGCCUCAGAGUAGUGGCAGAGGUAGAGGGAGAGGGUCAGCCUCUUCUUCAGCGGCAGGUUCCCGAGGUGACGGUCUGGUAGCCCCAGCACGGAUCUUCA